CCUGACCUCUGUCCAAAGUGGAGAGGUGGGAUUCAAGACAACCCCCCAUAUUUAGAUUCUAUACCUGGAAAAUGAUAACAAAUGUAUAAAUU